ensembl:lncRNA
AGCGUGACCGCAACAGGUGGGGGGACGGGAGUGGGGGAACUCUCCCCCUUCGAUUUGAGAGGGGCCGCUUUGAUCGGUGACACAGCUCUCACCGGAGUGGUGGGAGCCCAUGAAGGGGACACCGAUCAUCCCCAAGGAAAAUAUGCUGAAGUCAUAAAUGCUACAAGCAAGGAGAGGGCACGGAUUGCUCCGUCGGCCCCGGCGUCUCCUCCGUCGGCCCCUGCGUCUCCUCCGUCGGCCCCGGCGUCUCCAGCGCCCUUCGGAUUUGACCAUUUGCGAUGUCCUCUAACAACGCUAACGCAGCCAUUUUUAAAACAAUUUUCUUCAUCCAUUGCGCAUGCUUUUAUAGCCACCCAUAUAAUUGCAAGUUUCCCAGCGUCACCUCUAAGUGUCGCCAAAGGAACAAUAGCUGUAGAAACGUGCGUACGACAGCUCUGGAGCUGGCGUGGGGACCGCACAUUUUUACGGUCAUUUCACGUUUUGUACAUCUGAACGUGAGCGUGGAAAAGGAC